UACGUAGGGGGCAAGCGUUGUUCGGAUUUAUUGGGCGUAAAGAGCGUGUAGGCGGCUAGGUAGGUCUGCUGUGAAAACUCGCGGCUCAACCUCGAGACGUCGGCGGAAACCAUCUGGCUAGAGUCCGGAAGAGGAGAGUGGAAUUCCUGGUGUAGCGGUGAAAUGCGCAGAUAUCAGGAAGAACACCAAUGGCGAAGGCAGCUCUCUGGGACGGUACUGACGCUGAGACGCGAAAGCGUGGGGAGCGAACAGG
rnacentral:rRNA from 1 species